GGCUGAGAAAGCCAAAAGUGAAGCGCUGAUCAUCAAUGACGACGCUUGACAUAAAUAUUGGCGUGCAAUCAUACAAUCGACACUAUUUUUAACAACAAUCAGGCCAAAGGCAACAGUACCAAGAACAAUUCCAAGGCCCAGAAAUGUUUGUAAACCUAAAAGUGCAGAAUAAGCCAUUCCUGCCUUUUCACCAUGAUAAGCCUGAAAACAAAAGAUUGAAAGCAAAACAACAAACCCAAUUAGUCAAUUAAUUGAUCUUAAUUAUUUCAUCAUAAUCAGACAGGUGAAACAUUAGGUGACGCUGAUGAUUAGUAAACUGAACCUCGACAUUAUUUAAAAGAGCGUAUUUGAUUAACUUUAAUUGGAGUAGAAGAAAGUCUGAAAAGAUGAGCUUUCUCCUUAAUUAAAGCCAAUUCAUUAUUAAACCGAUUCUCGGUUAAUUAGACAAAUUCAAACAACACCAGAAGCAACGACAAAAACAAAAUCAACACUUGCGCCAACUAUUAAUAAUUGUAAAUGUUAAACGAGUUGUAUAACGCAUUGGAAGCUGCUACAUGAAUCUUGAAUUUUUUCAUCUUCAUAUUACAAUAGACGAUAGUAGAUAAAGAUUAUUUUGAGCUUUCAAUUUGGUUUUACUUUGUUGGCUCCUUUAAUUAACAGUUAAACUCAACCGAGCAAUCAAGACAAACACACAGCACACGCUUUCACCUUACAUAACCUUGAUCGACUGAACAUAUUGGAUAAGAUGAAAACAAUAAUGAACGGUAAAGAUGAUGGCAAAGAUGGUGGCAAACGCUGUGUACAAAGAAUGCUAACUGAAAGCCUGAUGAAUGUCUAAAGGUCAUGGCUUAAUCAUCACCACCAUUAUCAUCAUCUUUUACAUGUGCACAGUUAAAGGGCAAUUUUGCUGUCUAUCAUUUACAGUCUUAUCAACAGUCGAUCGAAGUGCCGCGUGUCAAUACACAUUCACCUGUCUCAAGAUCAAUUUAUUUCGGAAUUAUGCAAAUAAUAUCAUUUUGUUUGCUUCUGCUAAUUACAUCUUUUGUCCUGAUCACCUUUAUCUUGAGCAUCUUUUUUGUCAAGUUUAUCAAUUGAUUUUCACCAAUCAGCAAAACUAAAUGAAGCACUUUUGAAAGCUGAGCGCCAUUUGACUUUUUAAACCAGUUAACCUGCCAAACGUUUGUCUAAACAUUCAAUUGAUUAAACUCUUUCAACUGAUUAACUAUCGAGAAAUGAUCGGACAAUUUAAUUGCUUGGAAAAGACAAAAACCUUUCAACUAUUGAAUCUUAAAUUGCAAAGACGCUAAAGGCUUGUAUAAUUUCAAAAUGAAAUGUAAAGUUUAUGCAAAUCAAGGCAAACAACAGAAUCUCAAUCAAAGUUUAAUUAAAAGCUGUCACUAAUUUGCUGAACUUUGAUUAACUAAUUGAUAUCCUAUCGAAUAGCUUUAAAUGUAAUGAAGUAAACAUUGACAUUAAAUGUACAAUUCAAAGUGAAUUUAAGUUGACAAACACAAGUUGAAAUUAAUUUAAAUCCAAUGUUGGAAAAGAAUCGCAUCAAUCUCAAAUAGCAUCAUUAAUGACAAUUUAAACACUUUUACAACUAUUAAUCUAUGAAAAUAAAACUUGAAAUUAUCAUUUGUCAUGAGAACAAAGCAUUUUCUUCUCAAUCGAA